GUUAAAUCCAGUGUGGAUUCUUGGUCCUGGCUUGCUUAUCCCAGAAAAAAAGUCGUGAAAAGUACAGGGGAUGACCACAUCCACAACUCGAGUUUCAACUCCACGCUACCAGCCAGGAGCUCGUGCAGCCUGCUGCCGUCAUGCUGUAAACAGUGACUCUGCUGCCCCCAGCGGCCACCCAAAGGUGUCUCUGGUCUGAUGUUGCUGUGUUUACAUGUCAUCUAACCUUCAAACUGGUUGAGGCAGAUGGCUGAGCUAUCUUCGUCUGGAGGGAUUGAUUCAAAAUGAUGUGACUAAGACUGGCAUAAUUCAUAUAGAUAUAAGUUCCAAAUGUGACCUUGUUUGCACUGAGCUUGCAUUAAAUGCCUUAUUCAGAGUAAUAUUUGAUUUAUGUUGGAAAACUGGUGUGCAUGUUACUCUCACCAGAGGUUUGCUUGUAGGCUGAAAUUAACAGCUAUAAGGACUAAACAGCCCAAGAAACUUUGACCAAGAGAUCACAGUGUCAAAGUUUGAUUUGAGACAGUUGCAUUCUUUUUACAAGUCCUGUUGCUGCAGAAGGAAGUUUCACCCUUAAGAAAUUUUGUGGGUAUUCUUAGAAGAUCAAAGAUUUUUUUAAUGUGAAUGCCCUGCUGGCUAUUUAAUUUCCUUUUGCAUCCACUUUCACAUAAAAUAGAAUGAAUGAACUAAUGAAUGAAGGAAUAAAUAGUUCUUUAUGAGGGAAUGCUGCUGCU